CAGUCGCCGCGGUAAUACGUAGGGGGCGAGCGUUGUCCGAAGUUACUGGGCGUAAAGAGCGCGUAGGCGGGUUUUUAAGUGAGGGGUGAAAUUCCGAGGCUCAACCUCGGAACUGCCUUUCAUACUGGGAACCUUGAGUGUGGGAGAGGCGAGUGGAAUGGUCGGUGUAGCAGUGAAAUGCGUAGAGAUGUGGAGGAACACCGAUGGCGAAGGCAGCCCCCUGGGCCAAUACUGACGCUCAUGCACGAAAGCGUGGGGAGCAAACAGGAUUAGAUACCCCUGUAGUCCCUGUCUCUUAUAC
rnacentral:rRNA from 1 species